GAUGAACGCUGGCGGCGUGCUUAACACAUGCAAGUCGAACGGAAAGGCUCCUGCUUGCUGGGGUACUCGAGUGGCGAACGGGUGAGUAACACGUGGGUGAUCUGCCCUGCACUUCGGGAUAAGCCUGGGAAACUGGGUCUAAUACCGGAUAGGACCACAUUUUGGAUGGUGUGGUGGAGAGUUUUUCGGUGUGGGAUGAGCUCGCGGCUUAUCAGCUUGUUGGUGGGGUAAUGGCAUACCAAGGCGUCGACGGGUAGCCGGCCUGAGAGGGUGUACGGCCACAUUGGGACUGAGAUACGGCCCAGACUCCUACGGGAGGCAGCAGUGGGGAAUAUUGCACAAUGGGCGCAAGCCUGAUGCAGCGACGCCGCGUGGGGGAUGACGGCCUUCGGGUUGUAAACUCCUUUCGCCAGUGACGAAGCGCAAGUGACGGUACCGGGAGAAGAAGCACCGGCUAACUACGUG
rnacentral:rRNA from 1 species